rnacentral:sRNA from 1 species
CGCAUCGGUCCGGAGUCAGCGGGUUACCUCCUGUCAUGUUCACUGCAUCCUUGUGAUGCGAACACUUGCUAGCACCACUUGUGGCGCAAGCACCCUUCCCGUUGGCAACAACUUGACCGUC